GGGAGGGCGGUCUGGCUGCCAUCUGCUACGUCUAUUAACCAUUGAUUUUUCUGAGUUGGUUCUGCUUAUCUGACUUGCUAGGUGGGGUCCCUUUUUUUCCCCUCAACUCUCCAUCUACAUCCCUCCUACAACUCAGUCCACGCGGGUAACCUUCCCAUAGAGAGAAGAAAUCAUCUUCAGGCAAGGGAACUGAAGUU
rnacentral:snRNA from 1 species